rnacentral:rRNA from 1 species
UACGUAGGGGGCAAGCGUUGUCCGGAUUUAUUGGGCGUAAAGAGCUCGUAGGCGGCCUGUCGCGUCGACUGUGAAAACUCACGGCUCAACCGUGGGACUGCAGUCGAUACGGGCAGGCUAGAGUUCGGUAGGGGAGACUGGAAUUCCUGGUGUAGCGGUGAAAUGCGCAGAUAUCAGGAGGAACACCGGUGGCGAAGGCGGGUCUCUGGGCCGAUACUGACGCUGAGGAGCGAAAGCGUGGGGAGCGAACAGG